rnacentral:rRNA from 1 species
GUUGACCUCGGAUCAGGUAGGGAACCCGCGAACUACUUUUUCACUUCCUUUGCCC